AUUGAACGCUGGCGGCAUGCCUUACACAUGCAAGUCGAACGGCAGCGGGGGAGAAGCUUGCUUUUCCUGCCGGCGAGUGGCGAACGGGUGAGUAAUACAUCGGAACGUGCCCUGUAGUGGGGGAUAACUAGUCGAAAGAUUAGCUAAUACCGCAUACGACCUGAGGGUGAAAGUGGGGGACCGCAAGGCCUCAUGCUAUAGGAGCGGCCGAUGUCUGAUUAGCUAGUUGGUGGGGUAAAGGCCUACCAAGGCGACGAUCAGUAGCUGGUCUGAGAGGACGAUCAGCCACACUGAGACUGAGACACGGCACAGACUCCUACGGGAGUCAGCAGUGGGGAAUUUUGGACAAUGGGCGAAAGCCUGAUCAAGCAAUGCCGCGUGUGUGAAGAAGGCCUUCGGGUUGUAAAGCACUUUUGUCCGGAAAGAAAUGGCUCUGGUUAAUACCUGGUGUCGAUGACGGUACCGGAAGAAUAAGGACCGGCUAACUACGUGCCAGCCGCCGCAGUAA
rnacentral:rRNA from 1 species